ACAUAGCAGUACAUGGAGCACUGGGGGUGGGAAUAAAUGGUGGGGAGCAGUUGCUAGCUAGAAUUCUGCUGUUGCUGGCCCACCAAUAAUGACAGAAACCUGUGUCAGUUGCCAUGGUAAUGGAAGGGGGCUCCACCCAGCCAGGAACCACCAGUUGCUAACUAGGCUAAUUGUCCACAGGGGACCAUGGCAGUAGGUCGACUAUAAAUCACUGUGUUAUACCAUUGCUUUUCAAACUGUCUUUUGGGGAACCCAAAAAGUUCUUUGGAGGUUUAUUGUCAUCUAUCAAGUACUGGAAUCAAAUCUCAUUGAGUGUCCAACAGAGCCAUCAAGUAUUUGGAGAAUAUUCAAACAGUCAAGGAACACCUGAAGAAUAUUCAGCAUAUUCAGUGUCAAAUGUGCAAAGAAGAUUUUUCAGAAGGAAUUUAUUUUCAGCGCUAAUCUUAGAACAUUAACAGAUCAGCAUUAAAUGUUUAACAUGAAGACAAAUGAUAAUCCCAGAUACAGAUGGGACAGCCUGUGCAGAGUGAAUCAAUGCCGUACAUCAAGCAGUGUUUGUAUAUGCUUCAAUGUAUCCAGGCAAAGUCUUUUAACUUUCCAUCCUACAGCCGGAGCUGUACUUUCCUGAACGUCAGCCAGGAAAAAAUUUGUGCAUUUGGCAGCAAGACUGUGGGAAGCCUGGUUUAAGACCAGUCCAACUACUGCUGCAGAGGCUUUUUAUAAAGGACAGAGGACUCAAACACCUUCCUUUGUUUCACUCUAGGAGGAGCAUAAGUGGAGCCCCAAGAUCCUAAUCAGAUUCCAUUGUAUAAGCUCCAGGCUUUCCAUGAGUGUACUGCAUUUCUUGGCCAUGUUGACUUUUAUUAUUUUUUCAGAUGGAAAACCAAUUAAAAUGGAUUCAUUUUUUAUCAGGGUGUUAAUGCUUCAGUGCUUGAGCAUUCUGUUGGCUCUCGGCCACGUGCAGGUUUCGUUUUUCUUUUCUGUUCCCUUGGGCAAUGCCUGACAAAUUAAGAUAAAGUCACUACUUAAAUGCUCUCCUCCUAA